rnacentral:rRNA from 1 species
GGGCCCGCGGCGCAUUAGCUGGUUGGUGAGGUAACGGCUCACCAAGGCGACGAUGCGUAGCCGACCUGAGAGGGUGAUCGGCCACACUGGGACUGAGACACGGCCCAGACUCCUACGGGAGGCAGCAGUAGGGAAUCUUCCGCAAUGGACGAAAGUCUGACGGAGCAACGCCGCGUGAAUGAUGAAGGUCUUCGGAUCGUAAAAUUCUGUUGUGAGGGAAGAACAAGGAUCGUGCGAACAGAGCGGUCCCUUGACGGUACCUCACGAGGAAGCCCCGGCUAACUACGUGCCAGCAGCCGCGGUAAUACGUAGGGGGCAAGCGUUGUCCGGAAUUAUUGGGCGUAAAGGGCACGCAGGCGGUUCCUUAAGUCUGAUGUGAAAGCCCGUGGCUCAACCACGGAUGGCCAUUGGAAACUGGGGAACUUGAGAACUGAAGAGGAGAGUGGAAUUCCACGUGUAGCGGUGAAAUGCGUAGAUAUGUGGAGGAACACCAGUGGCGAAGGCGACUCUCUGGUCGGUUUCUGACGCUGAGGUGCGAAAGCGUGGGUAGCAAACAGGAUUAGAUACCCUGGUAGUCCACGCCGUAAACGCUGAGUGCUAGGUGUUAGGGGGCUUCCACCCCUUAGUGCUGAAGUUAACGCAUUAAGCACUCCGCCUGGGGAGUACGGCCGCAAGGCUGAAACUCAAAGGAAUUGACGGGGGCCCGCACAAGCGGUGGAGCAUGUGGUUUAAUUCGAAGCAACGCGAAGAACCUUACCAGGUCUUGACAUCCUUGGCUACUUCCAGAGAUGGAAGGUUCCCUUCGGGGACCAAGUGACAGGUGGUGCAUGGUUGUCGUCAGCUCGUGUCGUGAGAUGUUGGGUUAAGUCCCGCAACGAGCGCAACCCUAAUCUUAGUUGCCAGCAUUCAGUUGGGCACUCUAAGGUGACUGCCGGUGACAAACCGGAGGAAGGCGGGGAUGACGUCAAAUCAUCAUGCCCCUUAUGA